UUGAACGCUGGCGGCAUGCUUUACCCAUGCAAGUCGAACGGCAGCACGGGCUUCGGCCUGGUGGCGAGUGGCGAACGGGUGAGUAAUAUAUCGGAACGUACCCAGAAGUGGGGGAUAACGUAGCGAAAGUUACGCUAAUACCGCAUACGAUCUAUGGAUGAAAGCAGGGGACCGCAAGGCCUUGUGCUCCUGGAGCGGCCGAUAUCUGAUUAGCUAGUUGGUGAGGUAAAGGCUCACCAAGGCGACGAUCAGUAGCUGGUCUGAGAGGACGACCAGCCACACUGGAACUGAGACACGGUCCAGACUCCUACGGGAGGCAGCAGUGGGGAAUUUUGGACAAUGGGCGCAAGCCUGAUCCAGCAAUGCCGCGUGAGUGAAGAAGGCCUUCGGGUUGUAAAGCUCUUUUGUCAGGGAAGAAACGGUAGAGGCUAAUAUCCUUUGCUAAUGACGGUACCUGAAGAAUAAGCACCGGCUAACUACGUG
rnacentral:rRNA from 1 species